rnacentral:rRNA from 1 species
UACGGAGGAGGCAAGCGUUAUCCGGAAUUAUUGGGCGUAAAGCGUCCGUAGGUGGUAAUUCAAGUCUGCUGUUAAAGCGUGAGGCUUAACCUCAUAAAGGCAGUGGAAACUGAAUUGCUAGAGAACAGAAGGGGCAACGGGAAUUCCUGGUGUAGCGGUGGAAUGCGUAGAUAUCAAGAGGAACACCUGCGGCGAAGGCGGGUUGCUGGGCCGACACUGACGCUGAGGCGCGAAAGCCAGGGGAGCGAACGGG